rnacentral:rRNA from 1 species
UUGGCCUACGGGACGCAGCAGUGGGGGAUAUUGCACAAUGGGGGAAACCCUGAUGCAGCGACGCCGCGUGUGGGAAGACGGUCCUCUGGAUUGUAAACCACUGUCCCCAGGGACGAAGAUGACGGUACCUGGGGAGGAAGCUCCGGCUAACUACGUGCCAGCAGCCGUGGUAAUACGUAGGGAGCGAGCGUUGUCCGGAAUUACUGGGUGUAAAGGGAGCGUAGGCGGGGAUGCAAGUUGGGUGUCAAAACUACCGGCUCAACUGGUAGGUGCACUCAAAACUGCAGCU